rnacentral:rRNA from 1 species
GAUCAUGGCUCAGGAUGAACGCUAGCUACAGGCUUAACACAUGCAAGUCGAGGGGCAUCAGUUUGGUUUGCUUGCAAACCAAAGCUGGCGACCGGCGCACGGGUGAGUAACACGUAUCCAACCUGCCUCAUACUCGGGGAUAGCCUUUCGAAAGAAAGAUUAAUAUCCGAUAGCAUAUAUUUCCCGCAUGGGUUUUUAUAUUAAAGAAAUUCGGUAUGAGGUGGGGAUGCGUUCCGUUAGUUUGUUGGG